rnacentral:rRNA from 1 species
UACGGAGGGGGCUAGCGUUGUUCGGAAUUACUGGGCGUAAAGCGCACGUAGGCGGCUUUGUAAGUUAGAGGUGAAAGCCCGGGGCUCAACUCCGGAAUUGCCUUUAAGACUGCAUCGCUAGAAUUGUGGAGAGGUAAGUGGAAUUCUUGGUGUAGCGGUGAAAUGCGUAGAUAUCAAGAGGAACACCUGCGGCGAAGGCGGGUUGCUGGGCCGACACUGACGCUGAUGCGCGAAAGCUAGGGGAGCGAACGGG